CCCUGCUCCAGCUGUUCCACUUUAAGAGACGUUAGGGGACACCACUGCCUAAAGUGCUCAGUUUUGCUUCAGCCUCUGCUUUCCUACCCCCUUCUCUAGUGCAGUGGAUCUGUGCACAUGGCCCUUAACAUUUACUGUCAGAUUUGAGCCCUUUCACUGCCCAUUACUUGGAAACCAUCUAUAGUGGAAAUCCUGAGUCAUGGUCUGAAGCAGUGAUGGAGCACCUGGUGGGAAGGCAGGGCCAAGCCAAGGGAGCUCAGGUGUAUGCAAUGUACCUGAGUGACCAGAAGGUGUGUAGCCAGGUUCCACCCCUUCCCAGACCUCAUUUAAGGGUUGGCAGUGGAAAUAAGAGCAAUUUGUUGGAGAUCCCUGUAUACCUGAGGCCUUCUGAAGGACUUCAGCUGCAAUUCCCAGUUCCAAACCCAUGUGGGAUGGCCCUGGGAGUUAGAGAGACCUCUUAUUCCAAAGAGACAGAACCUCCACAACAGGGAGCUGAGGACCAAGAAAUGUCAGGGUUUAAUUUGGUCUCUGAUACUCAAUCACUGCAUGCCCUCAGGGUGGGAAACUGGAGCCAUGCUUCCAGCAGUGAGGAGUGGAGCCAGCACCACUCCGGAGGUCCACUUUGCAAUCUGUGCAGUGCAUGAACACAAGGCUGCAAAAAGAUGACGUAGAAAAUAAUACAACUGAAAGCUCAGCAGCCCUCCUUAGUUUUCUGUUGCUGAAGCUGAAGCUGGAAGAUGAUCAGAGGAAAGCGGAGACACUGAGGUCAAGUGUCCUUGAAGUCUGUUUGUGACUAAUACAUUAAUGAGCUUAGCUGGGGAAAAUCCAAAACCAACUUGUUCUGCACCUGAGCAUGAUCAUACUAGAGCAGCGAAUUGCAGCACACCAACCAGCCUGUUGCUAGCAGAGGGGGAAAAAGUUAAACAGCCCAAG
ensembl:lncRNA